UACUCACAAAUUUGAACAUUUUCGGAUAUAUUUGCACUAGUUCGUAAAAUGGAACUGAUGAUGAUCGUCACAUCGCAUCAACUAUUUAUACUCAGAAAUUAAAGCAGCGGUGCCUCCCCACGUGCGGAAUCACGCACACGCACAUGCGAAUUUCACACUCCACAAUCGACACACAUUCGUGGCACGUACACACACGCAUGCCCGAAAUUUCGUGUAUUGUUGCGAUGAGGACGAGAUCAGGCAAAGAUGGACAAUACUUGUAUAUCAUCAGCGACUUCUACACCUGACGUUUUUUACGAAACAGACGCCCAGAGGCAAGGCCGCGCAAAAGAUACAGAAUGAAUGAUUUUUGGGUUUUUGUUACAUGGAAUCAAAAGUUCAAAAUGCAAGAAUUAAUUUUUUGGCUUUUAAUAGCCUAGAAUAUGAAAUUAAAUACGAACUUGCAUUUGCUUAAUCAACAUGCUUUUGGCAAUACGUGAAAUAGAAUUUUGUUUCAGAAUUAACCUCAUCAAACUCAAAUCAACAAAUACUCAUAAAAUUAAAUAUAAUUGCAAUUGAA